rnacentral:rRNA from 14 species
AAGAUGAGCUUGUUUAAGAUUAGAUAGUUGGUGGGGUAAAGGCUUACCAAGUCAAGGAUCUUUAGUCGGUCUGAGAGGAUGAUCGGCCACAUUGGGACUGAAAGACGGCCCAAACUCCAAUUGGAGGCAGCAGUGGAGAAUAUGGGACAAUGC